rnacentral:rRNA from 1 species
UACAGAGGUCUCAAGCGUUGUUCGGAUUCAUUGGGCGUAAAGGGUGCGUAGGCGGCGCGGUAAGUCGGGUGUGAAAUCUCGGGGCUUAACUCCGAAACUGCAUUCGAUACUGCCGUGCUUGAGGACUGGAGAGGAGACUGGAAUUUACGGUGUAGCGGUGAAAUGCGUAGAUAUCGUAAGGAAGACCAGUGGCGAAGGCGGGUCUCUGGACAGUUCCUGACACUGAGGCACGAAGGCCAGGGGGAGCAAAACGGGG